rnacentral:sRNA from 1 species
AGGCGUGCCCAUUCCUGGGCGUUUCCUCCCUAAAGACUUCCCGGCCGGGUCCCUUGGACCCGGCCUUUUUUUCAUGCCCC